rnacentral:rRNA from 1 species
UACGUAGGGUGCAGGCGUUAAUCGGAAUUACUGGGCGUAAAGCGUGCGCAGGCGGUUUCUUAAGUCAGAUGUGAAAGCCCCGGGCUUAACCUGGGAACUGCGUUUGAAACUGGGGAGCUGGAGUGUAGAAGAGGGGGGUGGAAUUCCAGGUGUAGCAGUGAAAUGCGUAGAGAUCUGGAGGAACACCGAUGGCGAAGGCAGCCCCCUGGGCUAACACUGACGCUCAUGCACGAAAGCCAGGGGAGCGAACGGG